CCCCCCCCACACUACUUCUAUCACCCUUGCCUGAAACAAAUUUCAGAAAGUUCACCAAAAUGGCUCAUGCUAUGGCUUCAAUGGGUGGCCUAAUUGGUUCUUCUCAAACUGUGUUGGAUGGUCAGCUCAGUGGCUCAGCCCGUUUGAGCACUGUUAGCACCAGCAGAAUUGCCUUGGCUAGACCAGGACUCAGCAUUAGAGCCCAACAGGGGUCUGCUGACACUGAAACUAGCCGUAGAGCCGUCAUCGGUCUUGUUGCUGCUGGCCUUGCUGGUUCCUUUGCUCAAGCAGCCUUUGCUGCAGCUAAAUCAAUCAAGAUUGGUGGCGCUCCUCCUCCCUCUGGUGGAUUACGUAAGUCGUCUCGCUUUUGGUUAAGGUCUUUAUUUACCUUUUUCCUUUCUUUCCCAGUGGUGAAUCAAUUAGAGUCAUUGGGUUCUGUUUUUUUUAUUGAUGUUCCAAUUUUUUUCAAUUCAAACACGCAUAUAUGUAGUUAAGGGUUUUGUCGAACCUUUUGUGUCUAGUCUAGAUCCGCCACUGAUUACUGGAGCGACACAAUAAUAAUAUCAUAAUAGAUAUACUUACAGACAAUUAAUAGCAAGAUUCACAUAUCCAGGACAGGAUGUAAGAGUGACUCUCCAAUGUUGCAUUUCAAUUCAUUUAAUUUUGCUUAAUUUUUCCGUGAUUAGAACCUUCACUGGACCAAGGAAUAGAUUAAGGUUACUAGAUCGUGUCAUAAAGAGAAAUCCUUUGCCAGUGAGCUAUGCAAGGGUGUUCAAAGUCUAUUUUUAAUCAAUAACAAGUAAUAUUUUACCUUAUACGUAACAUAAUUUUUCAGCGAAGAGUGGUCAGUUGACCACCCUUGGGCCAACAUAGCUUCGCCCCUGUCCUUAUGUGAAUUAAAAGAGGGAAUUAAGCUUGAGGAAAAAGAACAGGAGGGGCUUCAUAGUAAGUAGUCAAAGAUUACAUUUGACAAGAGUAUUCCAAUCCUUUUGAAGGGUCUGUAACUUGUCCCUUCUAAUUUUUAUAAUAUUUCGUGAGAAGCGAUUGUAGAAAAGCUUUCAAACAUUAAAUUUGAAGCAAUAGAUUUCAUAAGUGAUACAAAAGGACACACACUUCCCAAAUUUGGAAAAUGUGGAAACUAAUCAAUAAGUGAUAUUUGAAAUCUUGUACUACUCCUAGUUUCUUUUGGAUUCAAAUUUGAAUUAGUACUUUUGCCUUGAAAAUCAAUCUUUGUGCUUUGCAUUUUAUGAAGGCCAAAUGCAAUAAACCAGAUGGAUCUUUAGAAGUAGUUAUGCAGUUGAAAUAUGAUUGGUUUCUCAUUUUGGUAAAAUAAGAUAUACAACAAAUUCCAACAAUUCAGAACUAUAAAGAAUGGUUACUAGAAAUAGAAAAGACAAUUUAAGUGUCAUAUGGCAUUUGGAAUUUCUGUACUCAUGCUGAGGAUUUGGAUUUUGGCAGCUGGAACUUUGAAUUCAGAUGAGGCAAGGGACCUUGAUUUGCCAUUGAAGGAGAGGUUUUACCUUCAACCAUUGACUCCAGCUGAGGCAGCCCAGAGAGUUAAGGAUUCAGCCAAGGAGAUUGUUAGCGUCAAGAAUUUCAUCGACAAGAAGGCCUGGCCAUAUGUCCAGAAUGACCUUCGUCUCAGAGCAGAAUACCUUCGCUAUGACCUUAAGACCGUCAUCUCUGCUAAGCCAAAAGAAGAGAAGGGAAAACUCCAGGACCUGACUGGAAAGCUCUUGAAGACAAUUAGUGAUGUAAGUCAAAUCUCUACAUUCUUGGUUACAUGAAUGUCUAUGUCAUAGUAUUUCAAAAGUAGUGAAAUUAUGUGCAUAGAAAUCCAAAGGGCUGCUUAUGUUUUCGCAUACUUUUAACAAUCUGUUCUUUU
rnacentral:lncRNA from 1 species